UCGGCAAAAGAUCGACUUUGAUCGGCAUAUUACCGACUCCGAUCGGCAAAACACCGACUUCGAUCGGCAUAUUACCGACUCCGAUCGGCUAAUAUCGACUCCAGUCGGUAAAUUUCGACUCCGAUCAGAUAACACUGACUGAUAACAUCGAUUCCGGUCGGUUGGGCACUGACUCCAAUCAGUCAAAGUUGAUCAGCCAAUCAAUUAUUCGAGCA
rnacentral:lncRNA from 1 species